rnacentral:lncRNA from 1 species
CGCAAAUGAUUCUGAUGAGGGGGCUGAAAGGACAGGUGGCUCCAUCCCGGUAGAGGUGGGCCUGGGUUCCUAACGGCCCCCGACUGUUACUUUGUGGCGGAGCGACAGGGCGGGUUGAGACCACCUAGGAGAGAGGUGGGCCUGGCCCUGGUCGACGUCCGCGGAUACUUAAUAAUAACACGCUUAACGAGUUCUUGGUAUUUGAUCUGAGUCUGGCCAUUUGGUCUAUACGCACUAACCAACUACGCGGGAACAGUUAUGGGCACUCGACGUCGUGGUAUCAGCCGAAGCUCUUCUUGACGUCAGCGACGGAGCGGCGCGCGCCGGAUUGGACUGGAACGCCUGCUAGGCUAGGUCUGCUUCCGGCCGCGUACGCAAGGUGCAGGUGUGCAAUGGGCGAUGGGCCCAGCCCCCUGCGCGCAUAGGAUUUAGACCGGCGUGUUGACCUCUCUGUUGAGCCUAGGUGGGGCUGCGACGUGUUGAUCUUCCGCGGCCGGGCAUGACCCAGAAAAGUGUGUCCGGCCAAACGGGAUCGAGCGUGUUGGGUUAUGUGGUGCACCCCUGCAGGGAAGUUUAUCUAUUCGAAUAGCCGUGUCCCUCGGUAAAAGGACGAGCCGGAGUUGUACCUUGACCUUAUGACAACUAGAACUGGAUACUUAGUAAAACACACCCUUCCAAGUGCCAUAUAUAACCCGAUGAUCGCUCUCUAACAGGGCGACGAGGAGGGGAUCGCCGGGUAGGAUUAUGCUAUGCGAUGCUACUUGGUGAUCUUACCAUCUACUCUCUUCUACAUGUUGUAAGAUGGAGGUGGCCAGAAGCGUAGUCUUCGACAGGAUUAGCUAUCCCCCUCUUAUUCUGGCAUUCUGUAGUUCAGCCCACUGAUAUGGCCCUUUACACAUAUACCCAUGCAUAUGUAGUGUAGCUCCUUGCUUGCGAGUACUUUGGAUGAGUACUCACGGUUGCUUUUCUCCCUCUUUUCCCCUUUCUAUACCUGAUUGUCGCAACCAGAUGCUGGAGUCCAGGAGCUAGAGAUCCCGAGGAUGAUUUUACGUGGAGUUCGGCUUCGAGGAGUAGUUAGGAGGUCCCAGGCAGGAGGCCUUGCCUUUUCGAUCGUUGCUACUUUUGUGCUAGCCUUCUUAAGGCAAACUUGUUUAACUUAUGUUUGUACUCAGAUAUUGUUGCUUCCGCUGACUCGUCUAUGAUCGAGCACUUGUAUUCGAGCCCUCGAGGCCCCUGGCUUGUAUUAUGAUGCUUGUAUGACUUAUUUAUGUUGUAGAGUUGUGUGUGAUAUCUUCCCGUGAGUCCCUGAUCUUGAUCGUACACAUUUGCGUGUAUGAUUAGUGUACGGUCAAAUCGGGGGCGUCACAAGUUGGUAUCAUAGCCGACUGCCUGUAGGAAUCCCCCUUUCCAACUCCUUGGCCGAAGUCGAGUCUAGUCAUUGAAAAACUUUUAAUAACAUGGCUGUGUGGCUUACGGGCCCACGUCGCCAUUGGGUGGUAUUAGGAUCUUUUACUCCUUGUCUAUACUCUGGGACUCUGAUCUCUCUUCUAUUCGGGUUAAAUGAUUUUGCUAAAAACAAAACUAACUUUAGGUUCUCGAAAGUACUUUCUCCCGGAGAGUCCCUCACUUCAGAUGAUCGCCUGCUGCAGUAGAAGAUUCCGGAGUUACCCUGUGAUGUUCUCUCGAGACUUUGUGUCCGUUGUUUUUGCAAUUCCCUAUCACCGAAAUAUCCCUAUGGAUAAAUACAUACAUCUGUCGAUCUUACUUUUGUUCCCAGUUGAUCUUCUCAUUACAAGAUACCCUGAAAUUCCCUCUAUUGAUCCGUGAAUACUUUGUGCCUACUGCCUUGCGGUUCUUGCCACAUGAAUACCCUCUACGGACAAUUCCUCGCACUUACCGAGUAUCCGCUCUUCCCCCGUUGUUUAUUUGAUUUACAAGACACAUUGAAAUACCAUCUGAUCUUUUGAUAAUCCUCUGCUCGCUAUUACUCGGCAAAUACUUGUCUGCUUGCAUUAUGGUUGCGUUCCAUAUGAAUAGCAAUAUUCAUUAGUAUCCUUUGUCAUUAUCAUUAGAGUCCCUUGAUUCAAUAUGUUGCAAAUUCUCGCAGUCCUCAAUCAGAUCCUAGAAUUCAUCCUUCCGGCUCAGACGUCAUAUUAAACAUGAGUUGGAUCUCGACCAAUGAAAUUGUCAUCAAUUGUACCCUUAAGCCUACUCAACCUAUCCAUCCUUGAUCAGAGUGUUUGCUUCUGAUCCCUUGAUUUGGAGCUCAUAAUUCCUUUGCAUUGGAGCUUUGAAUUAGUCGGUUGUCUUGAUAAUCCGAUCUCCUUGCUUUCUUUCUUCUGCUAGUUGAGUACCGAUGCUCACAUCAGGUCUCUUGUGGACCACCAGAACCUUUAUGGGAUUUUAUCCGACGACGUCCUUCAUAUUCAAUAACUUUGUGAGUCUUUUCUCGGAUACAUAAUGCCUUUGGUAAAUUGUAUCCUCUGCUUUGUCAACCAUGCUCUACUUUUGAGCUGGUGAUAAUCACUCUCAAAGCUUGUGGCAUAUGUUUCUAAGUUGCCCUAAUGGGUUGAACCUAUGCCUUCCUUAAUCUGUGUAAACCCGAAAGUUUUGCAAGGUUCAUACUCCUCUGGUAAUUCACCAGGUAGGUCUUCGCACUCAAAUUAUUUUUAAUAGAGCAGUGAAUGAAAGGUUAUGCAUUGCAGAAGUGGGACUCGACCUUGAACUUUGUGUUCAUGCCCAUGGACACGAUGUAGAUCUUAUCAUUAAAAGCUUCUCUUAAAUUAAUUAUUCCCUUGGUAUAAGUUCAUCUUAUAUCUGGGAUAUGGCCUUUUGCAAUCGUGGUUCCGACCAUGUUCUCCUUUAAACACCAUUCCUCGUGCAAGUUUAAGCACUUGACUUCUGUAGAGCAAUACCCAAUCCAACCUCUAUUUUAAUCUGUCGUCGAGUAUUACCCCCUUGGUAUCUCGAGAUUAUCACGGAACUGCAUAACCUCUUAUGAGUUCUCCAUCAAGUAUUACAUUCUCAUUGAUUCCAAUUUUUCACGGGCUCCGAGUUAUUAAACACUCAAGGACAUCGAUAACUGAAUCGAGUCCGCAUCAUGAUUAAACAACUCUUAGUAAUCUCCUUUGCUUACGAGUUCGUACUCGAUCACGUCAUCCCUAGCCUGCUCGGCUAUGUCAUCAUCGUGCCGAUUUUAACUGUGCUACCUGGUCCUUCGCAGCGCACAAAUUUCGACAGUGAGCUAAUCUUGCAUCGAUCUUCCUCGUCACAUCACUUCUCCUUGAACAGCAAACUUGAUUUCGAGUUUGUGUCCUACCCGUGGUUCCAAUAACCAUUCGCUUUCAUCAUUCCUUUGACUUGAUGUCAUCGUCGAUCAAUUACAUCAUCUUGAAAACCUCUCGACAAAUUUGUCGUGAUCAUUGUCAACAGUUUGACUUCUUCCAAGUUGUGUGUCGAAAUUCAAGAUGAGAAAUACCAUCCUUGCCCCUCGAUGAAUUAUGUUAUCAUCGACAACAUUCUUGCCUCCCCCCAACACAAGCUUGUUCAUAUUUUGUGUUGAGCCUAGGUGGGGCUGCGACGUGUUGAUCUUCCGCGGCCGGGCAUGACCCAGAAAAGUGUGUCCGGCCAAAUGGGAUCGAGCGUGUUGGGUUAUGUGGUGCACCCUGUGAUGCCCGGAUAAUUAGGCUACAGUAAUCCCACGUUAAUGAUGCCACGUCACCACAGUUACUGUUGUUAAUCUCGUGUUAGUUCAAAAUCAAUUCGAGAUUCAAACUUAAAAUAAAGUCAAACGGUAAAGAUUUUCAAAUAUUAAAACUAAAAUGUUGGGGUGUUGCCAAAUAAUGCAUAGGUAAUUAUUGUGGAGAAACCACACUUUUAUAAAAUGUUUAAAGGCUCUAAAGUAAUUAAAACAACAGCUAUGACAAUUAAUUAAGUGCCUUUUAAAAAUAAUAAUAAUACAAACUAUUUUAAUUAGGUGUCAAACUUUUUGGGGCAGUAGAAUAAAUUAUAACAUUAAUUUAGGAGUUGUAUUUAUAUUUUAUAAAACAGAAAUUGAAAGAAUAAAAUAGAAAAGAAAAUAGAUAAAGAAAAGAAAAAUAAAAAGAAACAAAAAAAAUAAAUAAAACACCCCCCCCCAAGCUGGAUCGAACGGCCCAGCUGGCCGCCGCACCGGCCGGCCCACCAGGCCCACCCGGGCCUCCUUAUCCCUCCCACUCCCGAAACCCUAACCCGAUCCACCCACUCACUCUAUUCCCCAUCGCUCCCCUCGUCCGCUCACCCGCGCCGCCACACGCACGCACGCACACCCGGUGGAGCGGGCACCCGAGCCGCCGCUCCCCUAAGGCCGCCGCCCGCCGGCACCGAGCACCACCAUCCCGGCCUCCUCCUCGUGGCUCCCAACCUCCUGCACCGCAUCCCCAUCUUCCUCCCCACCGGACUGCGCCCGCCUCCCCGAUGCCUGACGCCGGCGCGCGUCCCCGGCGCCACCCCGACGCCCCGCCUCUCCAUCGCCGGACCGCCCCGUUCCCCACCUCUGCUUCACCCAGCGCCGUCGGACGUCCACCUCGACCUCAUCCCCGACCGGCCUCCUCGAGCCACGCCGCCCCCGCUUCCCUCCAUCGCUGGUGAGGCCCACGGCCUCCCCUUUCCCUCUGCCAGCGCCUCGCACCUGCCGUGCUGCUACUGCCAGCGACGCGCCCGCGUAGGCUCGCCUCGUCGCCACGCCCAUGGCCCCGCCCGACGGCCCCGCAAUCGCCGUCCACGCCGCGCCCAGUGCGCGCUAGCGCUGUCCCGCUCCUCUCGCCCAGGCGCGGUCCCUUCCCCUGCCCUGACCGGUCGUAGCCCGCCCGGAGCCCCACGCCGCACGAACCCUUCGCCCGGAGAUGCCCGCGNNNNNNNNNNNNNNNNNNNNNNNNNNNNNNNNNNNNNNNNNNNNNNNNNNNNNNNNNNNNNNNNNNNNNNNNNNNNNNNNNNNNNNNNNNNNNNNNNNNNNNNNNNNNNNNNNNNNNNNNNNNNNNNNNNNNNNNNNNNNNNNNNNNNNNNNNNNNNNNNNNNNNNNNNNNNNNNNNNNNNNNNNNNNNNNNNNNNNNNNNNNNNNNNNNNNNNNNNNNNNNNNNNNNNNNNNNNNNNNNNNNNNNNNNNNNNNNNNNNNNNNNNNNNNNNNNNNNNNNNNNNNNNNNNNNNNNNNNNNNNNNNNNNNNNNNNNNNNNNNNNNNNNNNNNNNNNNNNNNNNNNNNNNNNNNNNNNNNNNNNNNNNNNNNNNNNNNNNNNNNNNNNCUGGCUGCGUCUAGCGCUCCGUGCCCGGCGCCCGUCCGCGCGGCCCCACUCCGGCACCACCUCCUGCUGCCGUCACGACCACCCCCUCGCCGCCCCGGCGCCAUGCCGUCGCCGUUGCCCCUCUGGCGGUUGAGGCGUGCGCCCGAACAAACGGGUGCUGGGCACCCGUUGCGCCCAUUCGCCCAGUGCCCGCUGCACCCCCUGAGCCACUGACACGGGGACCCCACCCCCAGAACGAAAAAAAAGAAAAAAAAAGAAGAAAUAAUAAUAAUAAUAAUAAUAUAUUAAAAACAAUUAAUUAAUUAAAGAAUUAAUUAACCUAAUUAUUUUUUGAUUAAUUAAACUAAUCUAAUAACUAAACUAAUUAAACUAUUAGUUAAUUAAUUAAUCAGUCAAUGACAGGUGGGUCCCGCACAUCAGUUUGACCCAGUCAACGCCCUGUUGACUGCUGACGUCAGCAGGCACUAUUCUGGAUAAUGUUGAAUUAAAUAAAUUAAAUAAAUUCUAAAAUGAUUUAAAACUUUUAGAAAAUCAUAUAAAAUAAACUGUAGCUCAGAUGAAAAUACUUUCUAUAUGAAAGUUGCUCAGAACGACGAGACGAAUCCGAAUACGCAGUCCGUUCGUCCGCCAGACGUCCCUAGCAUAGCAAACUUGCAAAUUUCCCCCUCCGUUUCAUCUGUCCAAAAAAUGCAAACUUGGGGAAAACUUUCCCGGAUGUUUCCCCCCUUUGCCGAUAUCACCUACUACCGCGUUAGGGCACACCUAGCACCGCGUAUUGUCAUGUUACGCUUUGUGUUGUUUUGAUUGCUCUGUUAUUUAUUGUGUUCCCCCUCCGUUACUUCUUUCCGGUAGACCCCGAGACUACCGGCGACCCCCAGUUCGACUACGGAGUUGACGACCCCUCCUUGUCUGAGCAACCAGGCAAGCCCCCCCCCCUUGAUCACCAGAUAUCGCCUAUUCUUCUCUAUACUGCUUGCAUUAGAGUAGUGUAGCAUGUUACUGCUUUCCGAUAUCCUAUCCUGAUGCAUAGCCUAUCCUUGCUACUACUGUUGUUACCUUUACCUGCAAUCCUACAUGCUUAGUAUAGGAUGCUAGUGUUCCAUCAGUGGACCUACACUCUUGUCCGUCUGCCAGGCUAUACUACUGGGUUGUGAUCACUUUGGGAGGUGAUCACGGGUAUAUACUAUAUACAUUAUAUACAUGACACAUGUGGUGACUAAAGUCGGGUCGGCUCGAGGAGUACCCGCAAGUGAUUCUGAUGAGGGGGCUGAAAGGACAGGUGGCUCCACCCCGGUAGAGGUGGGCCUGGGUUCCUGACGGCCCCCGACCGUUACUUUGUGGCGGAGCGACAGGGCAGGUUGAGACCACCUAGGAGAGAGGUGGGCCUGACCCUGGUCGGCGUUCGCAGAUACAUAACACGCUUAACGAGUUCUUGGUAUUUGAUCUGAGUCUGGCCAUUUGGUCUAUACGCACUAACCAUCUACGCGGGAGUAGUUAUGGGUAUCCCGGCGUCGUGGUAUCAGCCGAAGCCUUCGUGACGUCAGCGACUGAGUGGCGCGCGCCGGAUUGGACUGGAACGCCACUAGGCUAGGUCUGCUUCCGGCCGCGUACGCAACGUGCAGGUGUGCAUAGGGCGAUGGGCCCAGACCCCUGCGCGCAUAGGGUUAGACCGGCGUGCUGACCUCUCUGUUGUGCUUAGGUGGGGCUGCGACGCGUUGAUCUUACGAGGCCGGGCAUGACCCAGAAAAGUGUGUCCGGCCAAAUGGGAUCGAGCGUGUUGGGUUAUGUGGUGCACCCCUGCAGGGAAGUUUAUCUAUUCGAAUAGCCGUGUCCCUCGGUAAAAGGACGACCUGGAGUUGUACCUUGACCUUAUGACAACUAGAACCGAUACUGAAUAAAACACACCCUUCCAAGUGCCAGAUAUAACCCGGUGAUCGCUCUCUAACAGGGCGACGAGGAGGGGAUCGCCGGGUAGGAUUAUGCUAUGCGAUGCUACUUGGAGGACUUCAAUCUACUCUCUUCUACAUGCUGCAAGAUGGAGACUGCCAGAAGCGUAGUCUUCGACAGGAUUAGCUAUCCCCCCUUAAUUCUGGCAUUCUGCAGUUCAGUCCACUGAUAUGGCCCUUUACACAUGUACCCAUGCAUAUGUAGUGUAGCUCCUUGCUUGCGAGUACUUUGGAUGAGUACUCACGGUUGCUUUUCUCCCUCUUUUCCCCUUCCUAUACCUGAUUGUCGCAACCAGAUGCUGGAGUUCCAGGAGCUAGAGAUCCCGAGGAUGAUUCUACAUGGAGUUCGGCUUCGAGGAGUAGUUAGGAGGUCCCAGGCAGGAGGCCUUGCCUUUUCGAUCGUUGCUACUUUUGUGCUAGUCUUCUUAAGGCAACCUUGUUUAACUUAUGUCUGUACUCAGGUAUUGUUGCUUCCGCUGACU